GCUCCCGUAGCACAGUCGGUUAGAGCGUCGUACUUAUAAGCAGUAUUGGCGUGAACCGCCGAGCGCUGAAGUAAUGCGAAGGUCGGGGGUUCGAGCCCCCCCGGGAGCA
rnacentral:tRNA from 1 species